UUAUGGUCAUAUCAUGUUGAAACACCGGUUCUCGUAUGAUCAGAGAAGUUAAGCAACAUCAACCCUGGUCGGUACCUACAUGGGGAACCGCUUGGGAAUAUCAGGUGCU